AGCAGCCGCGGUAAUUCCAGCUCCAAUAGCGUAUAUUAAAGUUGUUGCAGUUAAAAAGCUCGUAGUUGAAUUUCGGGGUUAGUAGGUUGGUCAUGCCUCUGGUAUGUACUGGUCUCACUGAUUCCUCCUUCCUGAUGAACCUUAAUGCCAUUAAUUUGGUGUUUUGGGGAAUUUGGACUGUUACUUUGAAAAAUUAGAGUGUUUAAAGCAAGCUAACGCUUGAAUACAUUAGCAUGGAAUAAUGAAAUAGGACGUUCGAUCCUAUUUUGUUGGUUUCUAGGAUUGACGUAAUGAUUAAUAGGGAUAGUUGGGGGCAUUAGUAUUCAAUUGUCAGAGGUGAAAUUCUUGGAUUUAUUGAAGACUAACUACUGCGAAAAGCAUUUGCCAAGGAUGUUUUCAUUAAUCAAGAACGAAAGUUAGGGGAUCGAAGACGAUCAGAUACCGUCGUAGUCUUAACCAUAAACUAUGCCGACUAGGGAUCGGAUGAUGUUAAUUUUUAAUGA
rnacentral:rRNA from 1 species